CCUACGGGAGGCAGCAGUGAGGAAUAUUGGUCAAUGGACGCAAGUCUGAACCAGCCAUGUAGCGUGCAGGAUGACUGCCCUAUGAGUUGUAAACUUCUUUUAUAUGAGGAUAAAUUCCUGUAUGUAUAUUGUUUUGUAUGUACCUUAUGAAUAAGGAUCGUCUAACUCCGUGCCAGCAGCCGCGGUAAUACGGAGGAUCCAAGCGUUAGCCGGAUUUAUUGGGUUUAAAGGGUGCGUAGGCGGGUCGAUAAGUUAGUGGUGAAAGUGUGCGGCUCAACUGCAACACUGCAGGUGAUACUGGCAGACUUGAGUACAGUAGAGGUAGGCGGAAUGCAUGGUGUAGCGGUGAAAUGCUUAGAUAUCACGCAGAACACCGAUUGCGAAGGCAGCUUACCGGACUGCAACUGACGUUGAGGCUCGAAAGCGUGGGUAGCAAACAGGAUUAGAUACCCUAGUAGUC
rnacentral:rRNA from 1 species